rnacentral:rRNA from 1 species
GUAGGGGGCAAGCGUUAUCCGGAUUCACUGGGCGUAAGGGGAGCGCAGGCGGCAUGGCAAGUCUGAUGUGAAAACCCGGGGCCCAACCCCGGGAGUGCAUUGGAAACUGCCAGGCUGGAGUGUCGGAGGGGUAAGCGGAAUUCCUAGUGUAGCGGUGAAAUGCGUAGAUAUUAGGAGGAACACCAGUGGCGAAGGCGGCUUACUGGACGACUACUGACGCUGAGGCUCGAAAGCGUGGGGAGCAAA